rnacentral:rRNA from 1 species
UACGUAGGGGCAAGCGUUGUCCGGAAUCAUUGGGCGUAAAGCGCGUGUAGGCGGCUAGGUAAGUCUGCUCUGAAAGCCCGGGCUCAACCCCGGGAGGCGGGUGGAUACUGUCUAGCUCGAGUCCGGAAGAGGAGUGUGGAAUUCCGUGGUGUAGCGGUGAAAUGCGCAGAUAUCAGGAGGAACACCGGUGGCGAAGGCGGGUCUCUGGGCCGAUACUGACGCUGAGGAGCGAAAGCGUGGGAGCAAACAGG